CAUUAAUUAAACGCGAAUUGCUAAGAGGCACCCCCCCUUCUGGGGGGGGAAGCAUGGCUCUGGCACAUCCUUUGAUUAUAUCCCAUCUGUGAAUCUUUCCACUGUUGCUUCCGUGAGCCUGUGCUUAGCUCUCUCUGAGAGUCAACGCACCUGAAAAGUCCUGGCGCACUGCCAGGAGCGCACGGCAAUGGUACCCAAACCCUUGUUUUAUGCUGAUGCAGUCUGAGUGGUUAACACACAAACAAGUUAAAACUUUCAACAACGGAUCUCUUGGUUCUCGCAUCGAUGAAGAACGCAGCGAAAUGCGAUAAGUAGUGUGAAUUGCAGAAUUCAGUGAAUCAUCGAAUCUUUGAACGCACAUUGCGCCUCCUGGUAUUCCGGGAGGCAUGCCUGUUCGAGCGUCAUCAAACCCACCCUCAAGCAAUUUUGCUUGGUCCUGGAGGAAGAUGGUCUCCUGACUAUCCCCUCUCGAAUUCCUCAGCGGAGACCACAGCAGCCUCAGGUGUGAUAAUACUACCUCGCUUGAGAGUUAUUGUGGGCUCUCGCUGGAAAGCAGCCCCCAGCUAUUACAAGUUUGACCUCGGAUCAGGUAGGGAUACCC
rnacentral:rRNA from 1 species